CUAACUGCUGUCAGAAACAGAUUAAAACAACCGUGCAGACCCCAAUAUCCGAAGAUUAUGCAGCUCCACUCUCCCCCUCGGGGAGGGCUGUGGAUCCUGAUGCGGAUCCUGACGCGGAUCCUGACGGUAGCUGCCUGGACCCCGCCUGAGGCCUUGCCUGCAGCUUCACGGAUUCACAUUGCCACCAGUUCUCUUCCUGGGGAAAUUAUUUCAGAAUAAAUCUUAAAUGCCCUGUUGCCUUUACUGAGUUCUGGCAGGUUCGUUCCUGGUGGUGAAACCAUCCCAGAAUGCCCAGGGGUAUUACAGAGGUGGCAGGCAGAUGCCACUCACAUCUCCAGUAUCCCUGGGGCUUCCUCAGAGGCCCUUCACUGAACACUGAACAGAAGUUUUG
rnacentral:lncRNA from 1 species